UAAUACGUAGGGUGCGAGCGUUAAUCGGAAUUACUGGGCGUAAAGCGUGCGCAGGCGGUUCGCUGUGUCCUGUGUGAAAGCCCCGGGCUCAACCUGGGAAUGGCAUGGGAAACUGGCGGGCUGGAGUGUGGCAGAGGGGGGUGGAAUUCCGCGUGUAGCAGUGAAAUGCGUAGAGAUGCGGAGGAACACCGAUGGCGAAGGCAGCCCCCUGGGCCAACACUGACGCUCAGGCACGAAAGCGUGGGGAGCAAACAGGAUUAGAUACCCUGGUAGUCCACGCCCUAAACGAUGUCGACUAGGUGUUGGGGAAGCGAUUCCUUGGUACCGUAGCUAACGCGUGAAGUCGACCGCCUGGGGAGUACGGCCGCAAGGUUA
rnacentral:rRNA from 1 species